rnacentral:rRNA from 1 species
AGCAGCCGCGGUAAUUCCAGCUCCAAUAGCGUAUAUUAAAGUUGUUGCAGUUAAAAAGCUCGUAGUUGAAUUUCGGGGUCAGUAGAUUGGUCGUGCCUCUGGUACGUACUGGUCUUACUGGCUCCUCCUUCCUGAUGAACCGUAAUGCCAUUAAUUUGGUGUUGCGGGGAGACUGGACUGUUACUUUGAAAAAUUAGAGUGUUUAAAGCAGGCUAACGCUUGAAUACAUUAGCAUGGAAUAAUGAAAUAGGACGUUCGAUCUUAUUUUGUUGGUUUCUAAGAUUGACGUAAUGAUUAAUAGGGAUAGUUGGGGGCAUUAGUAUUCAAUUGUCAGAGGUGAAAUUCUUGGAUUUAUUGAAGACUAACUACUGCGAAAGCAUUUGCCAAGGAUGUUUUCAUUAAUCAAGAACGAAAGUU